AUUGAACGCUGGCGGCAGGCCUAACACAUGCAAGUCGAGCGGAUGAAGGGAGCUUGCUCCUGGAUUCAGCGGCGGACGGGUGAGUAAUGCCUAGGAAUCUGCCUGGUAGUGGGGGAUAACGUCCGGAAACGGGCGCUAAUACCGCAUACGUCCUGAGGGAGAAAGUGGGGGAUCUUCGGACCUCACGCUUUCAUAUGAGCCUAGGUCGGAUUAGCUAGUUGGUGGGGUAAAGGCCUACCAAGGCGACGAUCCGUAACUGGUCUGAGAGGAUGAUCAGUCACACUGGAACUGAGACACGGUCCAGACACCUACGGGAGGCAGCAGUGGGGAAUAUUGGAGAAUGGGCGAAAGCCUGAUCCAGCCAAGCCGCGUGUGUGAAGAAGGUCUUCGGAUUGUAAAGCACUUUAAGUUGGGAGGAAGGGCAGUAAGUUAAUACCUUGCUGUUUUGACGUUAACAACAGAAUAAGCACCGGCUAACUUCGUG
rnacentral:rRNA from 1 species